AUUGAACGCUGGCGGCAGGCUUAACACAUGCAAGUCGAGCGGAGUGAUGGUGCUUGCACUAUCACUUAGCGGCGGACGGGUGAGUAAUGCUUAGGAAUCUGCCAUUUAGUGGGGGACAACAUUCCGAAAGGAAUGCUAAUACCGCAUACGUCCUACGUGAGAAAGCAGGGGAUCUUCGGACCUUGCGCUAAAUGAUGAGCCUAAGUCGGAUUAGCUAGUUGGUGGGGUAAAGGCCUACCAAGGCGACGAUCUGGAGCGGGUCUGAGAGGAUGAUCCGCCACACUGGGACUGAGACACGGCCCAGACUCCUACGGGAGGCAGCAGUGGGGAAUAUUGGACAAUGGGCGGAAGCCUGAUCCAGCCAUGCCGCGUGUGUGAAGAAGGCCUUUUGGUUGUAAAGCACUUUAAGCGAGGAGGAGGCUACUAGUACUAAUACUACUGGAUAGUGGACGUUACUCGCAGAAUAAGCACCGGCUAACUCUGUGCCAGCCGCCGCAGUAAAAC
rnacentral:rRNA from 1 species